GCUGCUGACAUUUCGCUUUGCUUCUGCUGUAGGCGAACAAUCUAUGCUAAGGACACGAAUAAUUGCGGCAUUUGUGAAUCAAUAGCACUCAAAUUAGCCACGCAUUACUGUACACAAAGAAUAUCGACAACGCAAAAAAGAUGCUACUCAAUCAAGUACUACCGUAAAUUGCAAAAGUGGCGCUAUACGCAGUAACGCUGAAAACUGCAGAUAAUAUCGACACUGAAACAAAUGACGCUCCAGAAACGAGUAUUUCAGUCAAUCGCAAAACAGAUGCUCAACGCUCGAAGGAAUACCAAAUACAAAAAAAAUCUUCUCAAGCAAGUGCAAGUGCCACCGAAAUAUCAAAACGUAAUGCUGAACGCUGCAGAGAAUAUCGACAACGAAAAAAACUAGUCAGAAAUAGCUGAAAUAUGCUCGGCUCACUGCAUUUUAGAAGAUGAUCAAAUAUGUAUCAUGUCGGAUCAUUACAGAUAUGAUUUAAUUUAUCCAUAGAUCACUACUUGCAUACACUGAGGUGGGAGCUCGAGAUGACCAUGAAAUGCUACUGAUUUUAGCAGGAAAUUUCAAUGUUAACUUUGCCGACGAAAGUGUACAACUAUUAAUUACAUUUCGCAAAGAUAAAUUUAAGUUAGAAAUGAAUAAUGAUUCGUAACGAUCAACUACUGAGUACAGCACAACAUUAGAUGUAAUAUUUUCGAGAUUUUUAUAUAAGAUAGAUUUAAAAACAUUCGUAUCAUAUUUUAGUUACCAUAAACUAAUUGCUUCUUUUGUUGAAUCAAAAAAUGAACAUGCCUGUGAUUCUACUGUACGAUAAAUGAAGCUGUAAAUAUAGUUUGUACAAAAUAAAUUUCUAUACAAAUAACAAUAAA